AUUUUACAGAAGGCUUCCAGACAGAUGCCGUUAACCACACUAGCACUGAAAACGAAAACUCGAACCCACCUCAAUCCAUGAUACCUAACACUGAUGCCAGGUUUCAGGAGUCUUACUCUACAGUGAGCCACUCUUACGCUUCUGAAGAACAGGCUCCUAAGACCGUGGCCCCAGUGCCACUGUACCCGAACCAGCAGCCAGUGACACUGCACCCAGUCUUCCCUAUGGAAAUGUCUGGGCCUCCACAAGUCUCAAUGGACCAAGGCCACUCUAAUAUUGAUAGCAGCAUUAAAAACGAUAACUUUUACACUGCUGCUUCUACUUUGCCUGCAGGAAGCUACAAUAAUACAGGUUAGGAUGAUUGAUUUCUUAAAAAUAAUGUUUUGGUUCUGUACACAGCCAUUCAAAAUUUGAUCAUAAGUGAUAGUAAAGACAUUUGUGAUGUUCCCAUGAAUUCUAUUAAAAAUGCUGUUCUUUUGAACUUUCUAUUCAUCAAGGAAUCCCCAAAAACCUUAUCAUGGUUUCCAAAAAAAUAUUAAUCAGCACGAAUGAUUUCUGAAGAAUUACAUGACACUGAAAAGUGGAGUAAUGGCUGCUGAAAAUGUAUCUUUGCCAUCACAGGAAUAAAUUACAGUUUAAAUAAAAUAUAUUAAAAUUGAAAAACGUAAAUUUCACAGUAUUGCUGUUUUGACUGAAUUUUCGAUCAAAUAAAUGCAGACUUGGUGAUCAUAACAGACUUAUUCAAGAACAUAAAUAAAUCUUACCCACCCCAAACUUUUAAACAUCAGUGUAAAUAUUUCAAACACCAAUUAUUAAUACUAAACUUUUACCUUUUGUUUUUUAAGAUGGUGACUUUUCUGCUGGUGCAAUAAUGGUGAGAAAAAGAGAUUUCAGUUCAUUUUCAUUUUUAAGUUUGAGAAAAACCUUAGUGAAGUUGCCUCUGCAUGUUUAAUAGAGAUUGGAGGAAGAAUUUUAACACAAAAAAUUACACACAUCACCUUUAUGAACAUUUCACACAGGGUGCUGCUGAAAACUACGCUAUGGUUGGUAGUGUUUAUCAGUCCGGGACAAUUCCAAAUGAGGACAACCAGAGAGAGUCCAGCACACAAUCAGCAAAGCCCUCUAAGCCUGGAUGGUUCAGUGGCUGGUUCAAGUCUAAGCCUAAAGAAGACCCAAAAGAACAAAUCCCAGAACCCAAACCCACCACUAGGGAGUCAACAGCCAGCUUUCCUUUCCCUUCUCCUCCUCCACCCAUACCAAAUGCAUCACAGCCCCAACUCAGUGGGAUCAAUCCUUUUUCUAGGAGAGCUGGACAAAAAAUGUCUGGGACAAUGAGUCAGAAUCAAGGGUCCAUUUCACAGGUAGAAAUCCUGAUAAAUGCCUAUAUUUAUCACAACUGUCAUGCAAAUAUCCAAGCUAAUUGUUUUGUUCAUAGGGUCCCUAAUGAAGGUUCAUAA
rnacentral:lncRNA from 1 species